GGGCUGCAGCUCCCUGGCAGAGCAUCUGACUUACACGCGGACGGCCGCAGGUUCAAUCCCCGCCAUCUCCA